rnacentral:misc_RNA from 1 species
GAUGAAGAACGUAGCGAAAUGCGAUAAGUAAUGUGAAUUGCAGAAUUCAGUUAAUCAUCGAAUCUUUGAACGCUCAUUGCGCCCGCUGGUAUUCCGGGGGGCAUGCCUGUCCGAGCGUCAUUGCUGCCCUCAAGCACGGCUUGUGUGUUGGGCCCCGCCCCCCGGCUCCCGGGGGGCGGGCCCGAAAGGCAGCGGCGGCACCGCGUCCGGUCCUCGAGCGUAUGGGGCUUCGUCACCCGCUCCGUAGGCCCGGCCGGCGCCCGCCGGCGACCCCCCUCAAUCUUUUCAGGUUGACCUCGGAUCAGGUAGGGAUACCCGCUGAACUUAAGCAUAUCAAUAAGCGGAGGA